rnacentral:rRNA from 1 species
ACGCUCGACACCUACGGGAGGCAGCAGUGGGGAAUAUUGCACAAUGGGGGAAACCCUGAUGCAGCGACGCCGCGUGAGUGAAGAAGUAUUUCGGUAUGUAAAGCUCUAUCAGCAGGGAAGAAGAUGACGGUACCUGAGUAAGAAGCCCCGGCUAACUACGUGCCAACAGCCGCGGUAAUCUGAGGCGGGCGUGGCAAGGC